AUUGAACGCUGGCGGCAUGCUUUACACAUGCAAGUCGAACGGUAACAGGCCGCAAGGUGCUGACGAGUGGCGAACGGGUGAGUAAUGCAUCGGAACGUGCCCAGUCGUGGGGGAUAACGCAGCGAAAGCUGCGCUAAUACCGCAUACGAUCUAUGGAUGAAAGCGGGGGACCGUAAGGCCUCGCGCGAUUGGAGCGGCCGAUGUCAGAUUAGGUAGUUGGUGGGGUAAAGGCUCACCAAGCCAACGAUCUGUAGCUGGUCUGAGAGGACGACCAGCCACACUGGGACUGAGACACGGCCCAGACUCCUACGGGAGGCAGCAGUGGGGAAUUUUGGACAAUGGGCGCAAGCCUGAUCCAGCAAUGCCGCGUGCAGGAAGAAGGCCUUCGGGUUGUAAACUGCUUUUGUACGGAACGAAACGGUUCUGGUUAAUACCUGGGGCUAAUGACGGUACCGUAAGAAUAAGCACCGGCUAACUACGUGCCAGCAGCCGCGGUAACAC
rnacentral:rRNA from 1 species